rnacentral:rRNA from 1 species
AUGCUUAACACAUGCAAGUCGAACGGUAACAGAUAAGAUGAUCUCUUCGGAGUGAAUCUUUGCUGACGAGUGGCGGACGGGUGAGUAAUGCUUGGGAAUCUGCCCAAUAGUGGGGGAAAACUCGGGGAAACCCGGGCUAAUACCGCAUAAUCUCUACGGAGGAAAGAGGGCCUCUACAUGUAAGCUCUCGCUAAUGGAUGAGCCCAAGUCAGAUUAGCUUGUUGGUAAGGUAAUGGCUUACCAAGGCUACGAUCUGUAGCUGGUCUGAGAGGACGACCAGCCACACUGGGACUGAGACACGGCCCAGACUCCUACGGGAGGCAGCAGUGGGGAAUAUUGCACAAUGGGCGCAAGCCUGAUGCAGCAAUGCCGCGUGUGUGAAGAAGGCUCUAGGGUUGUAAAGCACUUUCAAUAGAGAAGAAAAGCUUGAAAUUAAUACCUUCAAGCCUUGACGUAACCUAUACAAGAAGCACCGGCUAAUUCCGUGCCAGCAGCCGCGGUAAUACGGGAGGUGCGAGCGUUAAUCGGAAUUACUGGGCGUAAAGCGAGCGUAGGCUGUUAAUUAAGUCGAAUGUGAAAUCCCCGGGCUCAACCUGGGAACUGCAUCCGAAACUAUUUAACUAGAGUAUGGGAGAGGAAAGUAGGAUUUCCGGUGUAGCGGUGAAAUGCGUAGAUAUCGGAAGGAACACCAGUGG